rnacentral:rRNA from 1 species
UCGGGAACUCUGAGACAGGUGCUGCAUGGCUGUCGUCAGCUCGUGUUGUGAAAUGUUGGGUUAAGUCCCGCAACGAGCGCAACCCUUAUCCUUUGUUGCCAGCGGUUAGGCCGGGAACUCAAAGGAGACUGCCAGUGAUAAACUGGAGGAAGGUGGGGAUGACGUCAAGUCAUCAUGGCCCUUACGAGUAGGGCUACACACGUGCUACAAUGGCGCAUACAAAGAGAAGCGACCUCGCGAGAGCAAGCGGACCUCAUAAAGUGCGUCGUAGUCCGGAUUGGAGUCUGCAACUCGACUCCAUGAAGUCGGAAUCGCUAGUAAUCGUGGAUCAGAAUGCCACGGUGAAUACGUUCCCGGGCCUUGUACACACCGCCCGUCACACCAUGGGAGUGGGUUGCAAAAGAAGUAGGUA